UACGUAGGUGGCAAGCGUUGUCCGGAUUUAUUGGGUUUAAAGGGUGCGUAGGCGGCUUUGUAAGUCAGUGGUGAAAUAUGGCAGCUCAACUGUCAAGGUGCCAUUGAUACUGCGGAGCUUGAGUACAGAUGAGGUAGGCGGAAUUGACGGCGUAGCGGUGAAAUGCUUAGAUAUCGUCAAGAACACCUAUAGCGAAGGCAGCUUACUAGGCUGUAACUGACGCUGAGGCACGAAAGUGUGGGGAUCAAACAGG
rnacentral:rRNA from 1 species